CCCUUAGAUGUUCUGGGCCGCACGCGCGCUACACUGACGAAUGCAACGAGCUUAUAACCUUGGCCGAAAGGUCUGGGUAAUCUCCAAAUUUCGUCGUGAUGGGGAUAGAUUAUUGCAAUUAUUAAUCUUCAACGAGGAAUGCCUAGUAAGCGCAAGUCAUCAGCUUGCGUUGAUUACGUCCCUGCCCUUUGUACACACCGCCCGUCGCUCCUACCGAUUGAAUGGUCCGGUGAAGCGUUCGGACCGUGGCCUUCGGACGGUUCGCCGUCUGUUGGCUGCGGGAAGUUCGUUAAACCUUAUCAUUUAGAGGAAGGAGAAGUCGUANCA
rnacentral:rRNA from 1 species